AAGCACUUCUUCGCUGUCGAAGGACCUGCAUAAGAGCCCAGUGGCCGUUUUAACAGAAGACCAGAAUACAAUACGAGUGCUGGCUAAAGGGUUAAAGAAGCUGAGCUAUUCUCUAAUGAAUGUCCUGUGGAGCUGCUGAGAAGAAUCACAUGGGGAACCUCCAGGAAGCUAGCCCUUGGUACCAUUUGCUCUCAGAUGCAUGCUGAUACGGUGACCUCUCCAAGAAGUGCAGGGCUGGCCUCCUGCCUGCCUGGUGACCAGGGCUGAAUGUUGUCUUCCGCUGAAGUUAGCAGGAAUGUUAAUACCAGUUUGCCUUACACAAAUCCACGGUGAAACUUUCAGGAAAGCAACAGCUGGCAAUAGCUUGGUAAUUACACAGCAGCCAGCCAUUUUUUUUUAGCCCAUGUAAAAUGUGCUGUGAGCUUUUCAAGUAAAAUUGUACCUCCCUUCAAACCAA